GCAAAGCUUCAGUAGCUGAUUUGAUUCGGAGGAGAUUCAGCCCAAUUCAGGGACCGAAUCUCCGAAUCUGAAUCAAAUCGGGAGACCAAUUAAAAGCUCCAAAUCUAUUUGAAGCAUUCAACUUGAUUUAGAAAAAGAUUCGGAAAAGAUUUGGUGAUUCGGCCACAGACUAAACAGGCAGCUGAUACAGCUGCCUCCAGCUGUGUCUUGUAGGUGUCUGGAUUCUGAUCAUUUCUAGACAGUACUGGAGAGGCACCGCUCCAAAGAGGACAAUCAAAUCCAGAAACUCUACAGGAUCCAUGAAGAAACACAGGAGUGCGUAUGACUACUAUAAUAGAGCAGACUGUGCCUCAACUAUGAAGCCACGAAGGGAGUUCAGUUUAUUGUCCAUUCAGUCCUUGGCAGCUUGAGUCCACCAAUAAAGAUGCCUACUGUCAAGAAG